GACGAACUCUGGCGGCGCGCCUAACACAUGCAAGUCGAACGAGCGAGAGAGAGCUUGCUUUCUCGAGCGAGUGGCGAACGGGUGAGUAACGCGUGAGGAACCUGCCUCAAAGAGGGGGACAACAGUUGGAAACGACUGCUAAUACCGCAUAAGCCCACGGGUCGGCAUCGACCAGAGGGAAAAGGAGCAAUCCGCUUUGAGAUGGCCUCGCGUCCGAUUAGCUAGUUGGUGAGGUAACGGCCCACCAAGGCAACGAUCGGUAGCCGGACUGAGAGGUUGAACGGCCACAUUGGGACUGAGACACGGCCCAGACUCCUACGGGAGGCAGCGGUGGGGAAUAUUGCACAAUGGGGGAAACCCUGAUGCAGCGACGCCGCGUGGAGGAAGAAGGUCUUCGGAUUGUAAACUCCUGUUGUUGAGGAAGAUAAUGACGGUACUCAACAAGGAAGUGACGGCUAACUACGUGCCAGCAGCCGCGGUAAAACGUAGGUCACAAGCGUUGUCCGGAAUUACUGGGUGUAAAGGGAGCGCAGGCGGGAAGACAAGUUGGAAGUGAAAUCCAUGGGCUCAACCCAUGAACUGCUUUCAAAACUGUUUUUCUUGAGUAGUGCAGAGGUAGGCGGAAUUCCCGGUGUAGCGGUGGAAUGCGUAGAUAUCGGGAGGAACACCAGUGGCGAAGGCGGCCUACUGGGCACCAACUGACGCUGAGGCUCGAAAGUGUGGGUAGCAAACAGGAUUAGAUACCCUGGUAGUCCACACCGUAAACGAUGAUUAAUAGGUGUUGGAGGAUUGACCCCUUCAGUGCCGCAGUAACACAAUAAG
rnacentral:rRNA from 1 species